CCUACGGGAGGCAGCAGUGAGGAAUAUUGGUCAAUGGACGCAAGUCUGAACCAGCCAUGCCGCGUGCAGGAAGACGGCUCUAUGAGUUGUAAACUGCUUUUGUACGAGGGUAAAUCCCGAUACGUGUAUCGGGUUGAAAGUAUCGUACGAAUAAGGAUCGGCUAACUCCGUGCCAGCAGCCGCGGUAAUACGGAGGAUUCAAGCGUUAUCCGGAUUUAUUGGGUUUAAAGGGUGCGUAGGCGGCAGUUUACGUCAGCGGUCAAAUGUCGGUUCUCAACACCGGACUGCCGUUGCAAAUGGUCUUCGUGAUGGAGCGAGAAGUAUGCGGAAUGCGUGGUGUAGCGGAGAAAUGCAUAGAU
rnacentral:rRNA from 1 species